rnacentral:rRNA from 1 species
GUCUACGGUCACGCCACCCUGAACAAGCUUGAUGUCUGAUCUCGGAAGCUAAGCAGGGUUGGGCCUGGUUAGUACUUAGAAGGGAGACCACCUAGGAAGACCAGGUGCUGUAGGCA